rnacentral:rRNA from 1 species
ACGUAGGGGGCGAGCGUUGUCCGGAUUCAUUGGGUGUAAAGAGCGCGUAGGCGGCUCGGAAAGUCGGAUGUGAAAACCCGAGGCUCAACCUCGAGCUUGCAUCCGAUACUGCCGGGCUUGAGGCAGGUAGGGGAGAUCGGAAUUCCUGGUGUAGCGGUGAAAUGCACAGAUAUCAGGAGGAACACCGGUGGCGAAGGCGGAUCUCUGGGCCUGUCCUGACGCUGAGGCGCGAAAGCUAGGGGAGCGAACAGGA